UUAUUAAUAAUUAUAAAUUUUAAUUUUCCCGAAUUUAAGAGAGCUAAAUAUAUAUAUAUAUUAUUGUAAAAUAAACAUUUAAAAUAUAUAUUUAGUAAUGAAAUGUUAUUCGUUCUUUAAUAUAUCUGGUUUUUUAAGAAAUAAAUUUAAUUUAGGGAUUAUUAAAGAUUAAAUUAAUUUAAUAAUUUGAUUUUGUUAAUUUUUAAUAUUUUAAGGGAUAAGCUUUAAAAUAAAGAAUUAUAAAUUAAUUUUUUAAUAAAAAAGUAGUAGGAUUGGCAGUGUUUAAUAUAGUGGUGUGUUAUAAUUAAUUUUUAUUUAAAUAUAAUUUAUAUAGAUUUUAAGUAUUUUAUUGAAAUAUCUUAUUUAAUAUAGUUAUAAGAGUAAUAAUGAUAAAAUUAGUAUAAUUAAAUGUAAAUAGUUUUUAAAUAUUAAGGUUAAAUUAAGGAAUUCGGCAAAUUUAUUUCUCGCCUGUUUAUUAAAAACAUGUCUUUUUGAUAAUAAUUUAAAGUCUAAUCUGCCCAAUGAUUUUUGGUUGAAUGGCCGCAGUAUCCUGACUGUGCUAAGGUAGCAUAAUCAUUAGUUUUUUAAUUGAAAGCUGGAAUGAAUGAUUGGACGAGGAAAUUACUGUCUCAAUUUAAUUUUUCUUAGAAUUUUAUUUUUAAGUAAAAAAGCUUAAAUAAUAUUGAAAGACGAGAAGACCCUAUAGAGUUUUAUAUAAUUAAAUUAUUUUUGAUUUGAGGAAUUAAUAAUAAUUAAAUAAUUUAUUAUAUUUAGUUGGGGGGAUUGAAAAAUUUAAUUAACUUUUUUUUUAUUUUUAUAUAGAUAAGUAGAUUUAUGAGCCAUGUUUUAUGAUUAAAAGAUUAAAUUACCUUAGGGAUAACAGCGUAAUUUUUUUUAGAGUUCUUAUCGAAUAAAAAGAUUGCGACCUCGAUGUUGGAUUAAAAUUAAUUUGUGGUGUAGAAGCUAUAAAAUUAGGUCUGUUCGACCUUUGAAAUUUU
rnacentral:rRNA from 1 species